rnacentral:rRNA from 1 species
ACUCCUACGGGAGGCAGCAGUGGGGAAUAUUGGGCAAUGGGGGAAACCCUGACCCAGCCACGCCGCGUGAGUGAUGAAGAGCCUUCGGGUCGUAAAGACUACUGUGGGGAGGGACGAACAAACUGGGUGAUAAUCAAGGUCGGUCCUGACGGUACCUCGUUAGCAAGCACCGAGUUAUUCUUCGUGCCAGCAGCCGCGGUAAU